rnacentral:misc_RNA from 1 species
UCUCCGUUGGUGAACCAGCGGAGGGAUCAUUACAGAGUUGCAAAACUCCCAAACCAUUGUGAACGUUACCUAUCCCGUUGCUUCGGCGGGCGGCCCGGGCCCCGCGCCCGGCGCCCCCCGGCCCCCCGUGGGCGCCCGCCGGAGGUAAACCGAACCCUUGAACUGCAUGGCCUCUCUGAGUCUUCUGUACUGAAUAAGUCAAAACUUUCAACAACGGAUCUCAUGGUUCUG